GAUUAAGAAAGUAAUUAAGGGCGUACGGUGAAUGCCUUGGCUCUCAGAGGCGAAGAAAGACGUGAUAAGCUGCGAUAAGCUACGAUUAGGUGCAAAUAACCUGUGAGUCGUAGAUUUCUGAAUGGGGCAACCCAACUGAUAGAAGAUCAGUUAUCCUGUAAAGGAAGCAAACCCGGAGAACUGAAACAUCUAAGUACCCGGAGGAAGAGAAAACAAUAGUGAUUCCCUAAGUAGCGGCGAGCGAAAUGGGAAAAGCCCAAACCAUAAAUGUUUCGGCAUAUAUGGGGUUGUAGGACUGCGCUGUGGACAAUAAACUAAUAAUAGAAUCUAACUGGAAAGUUAAACCAAAGAAGGUGAAAGUCCUGUACAUGAAAUUAGUAUAUUACCUAGCAGUAUCCUGAGUAGCACGAAACACGAGAAAUUUUGUGUGAAUCCACCAGAACCAUCUGGUAAGGCUAAAUACUACUGAGAGACCGAUAGUGAACUAGUACCGUGAGGGAAAGGUGAAAAGAACCCUGAACAAGGGAGUGAAAUAGAACCUGAAACCGUACGCUUACAAGCGGAGGGAGUCUCGAUUUAUCGGGAUGACCUCGUGCCUUUUGCAUAAUGAUCCUACGAGUUACUCCUCACUAGCAAGGUUAAGCACCUAAGGUGCGCAGCCGAAGCGAAAGCAAGUCUGAAUAGGGCGUAUAGUUAGUGGGGGUAGACGCGAAACUUGGUGAUCUACCCAUGAGCAGGUUGAAGUUGCAGUAACAUGUAAUGGAGGACCGAACCAGUAAACGUUGAAAAGUUUUUGGAUGACUUGUGGGUAGGGGUGAAAGGCCAAUCAAACUGAGAGAUAGCUCGUACUCCCCGAAAUGCAUUUAGGUGCAGCGUUGAGGUAAAGAAUCAUAGAGGUAGAGCUACUGAUUGGGCUAGGGGGCUUCACCGCCUACCAAACCCUAAUAAACUCCGAAUGCUAUGAUUUAUACUCAGCAGUGAGGGCAUGGGUGCUAAGGUCCAUGUCCGAGAGGGAAAGAACCCAGACCAUCAGCUAAGGUCCCUAAAUAUGUGUUAAGUUGAACUAACGAGGUCCGAUUGCUUAGACAGCUAGGAUGUUGGCUUGGAAGCAGCCAUUCAUUUAAAGAGUGCGUAACAGCUCACUAGUCGAGCGAUUGGGCGUGGAUAAUAAUCGGGCAUAAAACACAAUACCGAAGCUAUGGAUUCCGAGUAAUCGGGAUGGUAGGGGAGCAUUCUAGUCAGCAUAGAAGGUGUAUCGUAAGGUAUGCUGGAGCGUCUAGAAAAGAAAAUGUAGGAAUAAGUAACGAUAAGGCAGGCGAGAAACCUGCCCACCGAAAGACUAAGGUUUCCUGAUCAACGCUAAUCGGAUCAGGGUUAGUCGGGACCUAAGGCGAACCCGAAAGGGGUAGUCGAUGGACAACAGGUUAAUAGUCCUGUACUAGCGUAUAUUGCGAUGGGGUGACGGAGUAGUGAAAGGUCUGCGUACUGACGGAAUAGUACGUUGAAGAGUGUAGGUAUAGGAACUGUAGGAAAAUCCGCAGAUCUUGCUGAACUUGAUAGUACCAUGAGCCUUCGGGCAAAUGGAUAAUGACCCUAAUCAGACUUCCAAGAAAAACCUCUAAGCAUCAGAUAUACGGUACCCGUACCGCAAACCGACACAGGUAGUCGAGGAGAGAAUCCUAAGGUGCUCGAGUGAUUCAUGGUUAAGGAACUAGGCAAAAUCGCCUCGUAACUUCGGGAGAAGAGGCGCCCCGAGCAAUCGGGGCCGCAGUGAAAAGGCCCAGGCAACUGUUUAUCAAAAACACAUGGCUUUGCAAAAUCGAAAGAUGAGGUAUAAGGCCUGACACCUGCCCGGUGCUGGAAGGUUAAAAGGAGAUGUUAGUUUCGGCGAAGCAUUGAAUUGAAGCCCCAGUAAACGGCGGCCGUAACUAUAACGGUCCUAAGGUAGCGAAAUUCCUUGUCGGGUAAGUUCCGACCUGCACGAA
rnacentral:rRNA from 1 species